rnacentral:lncRNA from 13 species
CCUAAUCUCUGCUCUCAAUGCACCUGCAACCUGUCCCAAAUUUUCCUUCUCUUCUUUCCAUCCACUCCUCCUACCUCUGCCAGUGAUUCACAAUUCUUCUUGUCCAUCGACCCUUCCAAACUUUAUCUUCCCCACCUGUCUGAACCAGACCAUAAUCCAGGUCCUAACCCCUCCCCCAAAGCCUCCCUCCUCCUCUGUCCACAACCCAUCUCCUUUGCCCCUCCUGUCACACUCUCCACCUCAUACCCAGUCCUGCUUGCAGUUUAGUCCUGCAGCUAAUUCCGCUGCCCCUGCCCAACAAAUCCCCACUUCAAGAGGUGGCUGGAGCCUAAGGCGUAGUUAGGGUGCACUUUCCUUUCUCUUUAUCAGACCUUUCCCAAAACAGCCAGUGGUUAGGCUCCUUUUCAUCAAAUCCGCCAGUACUUAACUCAAUCCUAUAUUCUCACCUGGAGUAACUUAAAUUUCAUUCUUACUUCUACCCUCAUCCCUGGAAAAACGUUUAUCACCCAAUCAGCCCCUAGCAUUAAAAACGCAACUGAAAUAAAAAUCUGGCCCUCAAACCCCACAGCAGGAAUUAACCUUGUCUUCAAGGUGUUUAACAAUAGGGAGAAAGCAGCCAAGUGGCAGUGCAUUUCAGAACUGCAUUUGCUUGCCUCUGCCAUAAGACAUACCCCAGCCAUACUACUGGCUCACAAAGACUUCAAAGCACCCAGAUUGCAGCAUCCAGCUGGACCUCCUGGACCUUGCUUCAAGUGUUGGAAACCUGGUCACAGGGCCAAGGAAUGCCUGCAGCCAGCCUGGGAUUCCCCCUAACCCCUGCCCCACCUUGCAGGCCCCUGCUGGAAGUCAGACUGUCUGACUCAUGUCACUGCUCCUUGGCUUCUCGGAGACCCCCUGGACCAUCACAGAUGCCAAGCUUCGGGUAACUGUUAUGGUGGAGGGAGCCAGAAAGUCUGAAGUAACCAGACAACUGCAAAGAGAAGUUAAACCACUGGUUUCUGCCUCAACUAAUUGUUCUCCUCCUGCAACUUGCAACCAUUUUUCCUGCUCAGCCUUGCAAAAACUUCCCCCUGGACACUGAGUUUCUCAAGACCCUGCACCCCUGUAACUAUGAAAUGUAUGGCAACCUCUACUCUGCUUGCAACCAAUGCCACACACACUUAUGAUCAUGUCUUUUUGUAAUAAAUGACCCCUACCCUUGUGAUAAUGCA